CACCACAGAACCUGAAGGGAAGAGAACCACCACAGAACCUGGACUAAAGAGCUAUGGCCCCAAACCAAAGCUAGUCCUUACACUCUAUUCUCUUGCUAAUAUAUUGUUAUAAUAUAAUGAAGGUUCACCCAAGUUACAAAAUGACACAUUGGUUUCCCUUCCCUUUUAGCAGUCUAUGAACAUGGUGACAUCAGUCCCUGCUUUGGUUUAGUUUCCCCUGACACUGUUUCCACCUGCUAACGUUUUAGCAUUCGUGGCACAAAUCUCAUUCGUCAUGUGACUGAUAAGAGGCAUUUCUUGCGCAUCAUUUCGAAAUCAAUCAAAAGUUUAAAAAAAUGCGUUGUGAAGGUCAACAAAGUCACUUCUAGAUGAUUUGAACAUGAUGAGAGAAUGUUAAUAUCAGUCCCGUGACUUGAAUGGGAUUUUUGUAAAUGUGGGAGUAUUCGACAUUGUAGCUGACUUUAUAGGCAAGUCGAGAUCUACAAAUCACCUUGCAUGAUGAAUAACUACUCAAUAUUAUUUAUAGAUCAUUCAGUCAGUCACAAUUUACCCAUAAUACAUCAGUUUUGAUGUUCUCAAACACUGUCUGAGUGACUGCUGAAGGAAGCCUUCUCUGCAUAAGCUUCUUGGUCCCUGACAUAGAGUUGGAUAGAAGGUACAUCUUGACAUCUUAGUCAUGAUGUCUUCUGUGACAGAAUGAGCAGCACCAUUGAGGGCUAUUUCCGUAUUAAAGUAGUUAAUAUCUUCAACUUCCAUAAGUUUAAUAACAGUCGGUAUACCAACUGAAAUGGUGUAUUCAAUGGCUUUAGCCAUGCUAAAACAGGCUUUGAAGCAAGUACGCCCUCUAUUCAACUCUAUCGUCCCUGACUGCUUCAAUGUUGUGUCAACCGGACUUCAAACCUCACACUCAGUGUCUAUUUAUAUAGACUUCCAGUAAGUUAACUUGCAACACAUCUCCCCUUCACUCUACUGCAGGGUGGGAGAUGCAACAAUGGCCUUGAGAACAGCAGGAAGUGUGUUGGGGGUCUUUCUCUGGUCUGUGGCAGUGGUACUGAGUCAGAAUGGCUGGAGUGUUACAUACACCACUCAGAGUAUCUGUACCUUGAAGGGGUCAACAGUGGAGAUGUCCUGCUCUUACACAUAUCCCAGAGGUUAUAUCAUCACAACAACCUUCUGGUUCAUAACAAAUAAUGCUGAGGGGAAUCCUGUGAGUCUGAGUGAUGACCCAGACUACAAAGGACGUGUGACGUACCGUAGUGAUAAGAUGAAUGGACACACCCUGACAAUCACAGACCUGAGAGAGAGUGACUCAGCUACGUACAUGUUCAGCUUUAUAACAGAUCAGA